UAUACUUUCAGAAAAGUAGAAAAGCUACUAUAGCAAUGCUAAAUAAUAAAUAAGCCUUUUGAUUUUGAAGUAAAUUAAAUAAGAUAAAUAUUUCCAGAAUUACAGUUUUAAUGUACUGCUAAUCCUAUUGGCACAACAUGAAACAUUUAGUAUUAGACUGAAAAAACAAGGUCAGUAUUUAAAACAAACAAAUUCCAUCCCAUCAUGGUUCUACACAAAAUGUCCACUUAGUCUAAUUAACUACAGCUCCUGAGCAUCGGUGAGUGGAUUUUCACAUUUAACAAGUUCUGUGAAGUUCAGCAAGAAUGAUUAUUUCUUUUGAAUGGCCGUGCUUAUAGAAUAUUGCUGCCCAUCAUACGGUAUUCAUUACUUCACGGUUUCAAACGUCUGUCAUCCACACAGGGAACAGGAAUGAUUCCAUAUGACUUAGGUGACAAAUCAUAAAACAUAAAAAAUGAAUAGCUAACAGCUGUUGGGACUUUUCCUGCUGAAAAUGGUUUCCUUCAAGUUAAUAUUUCCUCAUGCUCCUAAUUUUCUAAAAAUGGCAAUCCAGAUGUUCCAGCUGCAAAGUACAGGUAUCUACAACACAACCAGCAUCUAUGGAGAGAUCAUGAAAGGGCUUUUCUGCUUUUCUAUUCUUCCUCUUUUCUUUUUUUCCCUCUCUCUCUCUCUCUUUUUUUUUUUUUUCCCUUUGCUUCAACAAGAGUAAAACUUGAACACAGCCAGGUGUUUUCACUUCAGAGGCUCCAAUGGCAACAACAACUCCAGUGCUUGGAAGCUAACAAAUUUGUUGUGUCACAAUUGAUAAUCAACUCUAGUAAAAGAAUGUCCAAAUCAAUUGAGCUUUAGCAAGGGCAAACUGACUGGACACAGCCAGGCUCCCAGCAAAAGUAGGCCAAGCUUGAUAAAUUUGCCCUUAUUAUAGCUAUUGAUGUUUAAAUUUCUUCAGGGAUGUUGUUACAUGGGUGCCUAGUGGUGACAGAGCUGUGCAGAUGCUCCAAGUGCCUUAGCAGCUCUAUAAACUUGCAGAUUUGUGGUGGAAGUCUGUGUUCACCAGGAGUCUAUUGGAUUUCUAACAAAAUUAAUUGGAUUUCUUUCCUUAUGAAUGCUCCCUCUACAAGCCUAUCUCUGAAUAAAGACUUAUCAAUAAUAACUCCCAGAAUUAUAAAGAUUUAAAAGAGAGAGAGAGAGAGAGAGAGAAAAAGAAAAGAAGUGAACUUGGAAGGCAUGACAACCUACUAUUGCUUAUUUAGCCUUCCUCACACUUUAUCUAGGGCACAGAAAAAGGCUGUUUUAAAAGAAAAAGCUUUUCCCUCCUGUGCCAAAAAACUCCCAGUGAAGAAUCCAAUCACUGGAGUAAGAGUUGUGUGCCUGUCACAGCGAUGGAGAGUCCUUCUGUCUGAGUAGUAUCAUAGGCAUUUAACACCACGAAAUUCAAAAGGCAUUUCUUAAUCAACAGCGCGAUAUAGGUAGAAAGAGUAGAACUACAUUUUAAAAUCAAAGAGAUUUGAUAGUCAAAAAGUAAAUUCCAGCCUGUUUCUUUAUGUAUAGGAUUUCACUGUAUUAGCCAUCACUAAUCACCAAGCAAAUAUACCCUGUCCAGUGGACAAUAAUAGCAUUAUUACUUUCCUGCCACAGAAUCUUAUCUUUCUGUAAGUCAUGGCUGAGUCAAUCUGUUCUUUGAACAGGUAUUUUUGUUAAUGCUAAGGAAUCCAGGCGAAAAAGCUGCUGUAUAUUUCAACUGAAUUUCAAGUUCCUUCACGUCUCCAUAGCUGAUAAUUAAACCAACUGACCUGCUUCUGCAUUGAAGCCUGCAGGAAAUUAAGCAGAUAAUACUCAUUAGGUAGAUAGGCUUUUGGGGAUAGUUUAUUAAAAGAAAAAGAAAGAGCCCCCAACCAAACAAAUAACACUGAACUAUGAAUCUCAGAGCAGUCUCAUCACUUGGCUCCAGGGUUUUCUCCCUUUUUUCCACCUAUGGCAGAGUUUGGAGUGGUGUUAAAAGCAACUUUUGAAAGGGGGGUAAAAAAAAACCAAAACAUUUGCAGUAUUUCUCCCAGUUAAACUCAAUCAUUCAAACCUAAAACCCAAUCCAAAUAUUUAUUUUUAAAGUAGAAAUUGACUAUUCCAGUACUCACCUUUAAAAGAUGGCAAGCUUGCACUUUUUUUUUUUUUUUUUUCAAUUCAAACCAUGAAACUAUGCAAAAACAACUGGAAUAUGGUGUGGUGUGUGUCCAGAGAAGCCUCUUAUUUGUUUAGAUUUUUUUUUCCUUUUUGAUAUGCUGAAAAUAUAUCCCUAAAAGAUAUUUUAAUGUCUGUAAAAUAUUUGCAAUUUUUGGAUUUGCUGAUAAACUGAAAAAGCCAGGGAUCAUCCAGAUUUAACAGACAAUUCAUUCACUAUUUGUCUUUCCUGUUGUAAGCACUUUGGGGCAAAGACCAUGUAUUUUAAUCUCUUUAGAUGGUGCCUAAAACAUCACAAUAAAAUCUAAUUAUUAAUAAAACUGAUAUGUAAA
ensembl:lncRNA